rnacentral:lncRNA from 10 species
GAACAAACGAUGGAAAAGAAGCCACAGAAUUUUAUUUAUUUUUUAUUUUUUACUUUUUAUUUUGCAGUUAUUUAUUUAUUUAUUUAUUUAUUUAUUUAUUUUUGAGAUGGAGUCUCGCUCUGUUGCCCAUGCUGGAGUGCAAUGGCACGAUCUUGGCUCACUGCAACCUCUGCCUCCCAGGUUCAAGUGAUUCUCCUGCCUCAGCCUCCUGAACAGCUGCGAUUACCGGCGCGCACCACCAUGCCCAGAGAUAUUAAGGCAGAGAGCAGUUAAAUAACUUGCCAAAAAUUCUCAACAGGGACAAGGUCUUGCUAUGUUGCCCGGCCUGGUCUCAAACUCCUGGGCUUAAGCAACCCUCCCCAGUCCUGCCACCAUAGCCUCCCAAAGCCCUGGGAUUACAGGUGUAAGCUGCAAGAACUUCUUGAAAGGCAAUUCAACAUAGUGUUUAAAAGCAUGCAGGAGUCCUGGGUUCAAAUCUCCAUUCCAGCUCUAUCCAGUACCCAAAAUUGUCAUUGUCAGGCCUCUGAGCCCAAGCUAAGCCAUCAUAUCCCCUGUGACCUGCACAUAUACAUCCAGAUGGCCUGAAGCAACUGAAGAUCCACAAAAGAAGUGAAAAUUGCCAGUUCCUGCCUUAACUGAUGACAUUCCAGCAUUGUGAUUUGUUCCUGCCCCACUCUAACUGAUCAAUUAACUUUGUGACAAUACACCCUCCCCACCCUUGAGAAGGCACUUUGUAAUAUCCUACCCCAACCCACUGCCCUUAAGAAGGUACUUUGUAAUAUUCUCCCCACCCUUGAGAAUGUACUUUGUAAGAUCCACCCGCUGCCCACAAAAAAAUUGCUCCUAACUCCACUGCCUAUCCCAAACCUAUAAGAACUAAUGAUAAUCCCACCACCCUUUGCUGACACUCUUUUUGGACUCCGGCUGCCUGCACCCAGGUGAUUAAAAAGCUUUAUUGCUCACACAAAGCCUGUUUGGUCGUCUCUUCACACGGACACACAUGACAUUUGGUGCCGAAGAGCUGGGACAGGAGGACUCCUUCAGGAGACCAGUUCCCUUGUCCUCGCCCUCACUCCAUGAGGAGAUCCACCUAUGACCUCGGGUCCUCAGACCAACCAGCCCAAGGAACAUCUCACCAAUUUCAAAU